rnacentral:rRNA from 1 species
UACGUAGGGUGCAAGCGUUAAUCGGAAUUACUGGGCGUAAAGCGUGCGCAGGCGGUUCGCUAAGACCGAUGUGAAAUCCCCGGGCUUAACCUGGGAACUGCAUUGGUGACUGGCGGGCUAGAGUAUGGCAGAGGGGGGGUAGAAUUCCACGUGUAGCAGUGAAAUGCGUAGAGAUGUGGAGGAAUACCGAUGGCGAAGGCAGCCUCCUGGGCCAACACUGACGCUCAUGCACGAAAGCGUGGGGAGCAAACAGG